rnacentral:rRNA from 1 species
UACGGAGGGUGCAAGCGUUAUCCGGAUUCACUGGGUUUAAAGGGUGCGUAGGUGGGUUGGUAAGUCAGUGGUGAAAUCUCCAGGCUUAACUUGGAAACUGCCAUUGAUACUAUCAAUCUUGAAUACCGUGGAGGUCAGCGGAAUAUGUCAUGUAGCGGUGAAAUGCUUAGAUAUGACAUAGAACACCAAUUGCGAAGGCAGCUGGCUACGCGGAUAUUGACACUGAUGCACGAAAGCGUGGGGAUCAAACAGAGUUAGAUGAUCCCAGAUUACGUACCUAGACCAAGCCAUCUCGCUAC